GAUAUUGAUUUCAAAAAACCAACCGAUUGAUUGGUUUUUUUCACUGUUUACAUUCUUCAAGUUUUAUAUACACGAAAAAUUUAUAGCCCUUGUUAAAAAAUGAUUUUACAAAUGUUCAAGCAUUCUAAUAAACUAGCUGCUAUUUUAUAAAUUCAAAAUCAUUUUAGCAUCAGUUUAGAAAUGUCUGAACCUUUUGCCUCGUUUAGAUAAUUUUCAUAACAUCUCAAACACUUGUGUUCGCUCCUUCUAGCAUCUCGCUGUUUCAAUAAAUUUUUAACUUCUCAUAUUCGCUCUUCAAAUGAUAGUCACUGUGUACACCUCCAUGACAUAUCAAUCAAACCAUGCUCAAGUAUUUUAAAAAAAAAAAUUUCAUUCAAGUUACAACAAAAACUUAUCAAAUGACUAAAAAUACUUACGAAUUUUGCAAUGGUUAGUCCCUUUGGUCCGUCGUUUAUAUUCUCGUUGCGCGAAUUGAUUCCCAACCAGGCGAAGAUCCAUUACUUAUCUGUCAAGAUAUAACAUCCACCAUAUAAUAAUGCAUCUUAUCUUUUAUACACAACGCAGCUUUGCUAACUAAUUUAACAGGUGUCUCAUCCUACACUAAAAAAUUAGAAGUACAAAAAAGAUCAAAACUUAAAACUCACUUACUCAAUUACUCACAUUAUUAAUUUAUUC